rnacentral:lncRNA from 1 species
CUGCUUAUUUCAUUAUACAAAAUAAUAGUGAACAUGAACGAUCAAUACUUCUAUUAAAUGAGGUAGGCCUUCACUUGGAAUUCUCGUUUUAUAUAAAGUUUUGAAGUAUUACACGGAUUACUGCCCUUUCCUCGUUUACCCACGAUAUCUUGAGCAAAGCUACAAUACCCAUUCGUCACAACUCGGUUGAUUCCGUACCCUCAUCUAAGAAGGAGAGUGGCAAAUUCUACCGAGGAUUACCGAAUGCUACAAUACCACUCGAUUCGUACUUAUUUACAUGAAAUAUAUUAUGCUUUUCAAUUCUUGAGGUUGUUUGAUUAGUAACAGCAUAAGAAAACUGAAUAACAGUUUCAUAGUUGAUGGUAAAAAUGUCAUCAAAAUAGAAGAUCAAAGACGUUCAACAACUUGAGAAAUAUCAUC